GAAUGUGAGAGUGAUCUUGCUGGAAUAUUGGUGUCCUCGCUGAUCACCAUGGUUGAUUCUGCUGAUCUGGCUAGGGAAGCUAACUCCUCCUUCUUCUCUUACUGCCUAUGUUUGUACAUCCCUCCAAAGCUGUGUGCUCCAUGGAAGAAGAUCACCAUACCCUGGUACAUAAAGACUAGUCUUUGGUCAAUGGUAUAACUAUACUCCCAUGUUAGAACCUCCAAACAAGCUGUCAACCUUUGGGAAUAUACUCUAAAAUUAUAAAUAGUUCUUUUAUGGAAAUAGAAGUUUGUUGUUGUCUGCUUUCUUGU
rfam:Mesocricetus auratus contig102470, whole genome shotgun sequence.